rnacentral:misc_RNA from 1 species
AGAAACCCUAGGAGCGAGAGAGGAGAGAGAAACUCACAGAUCCUCACUCGCAGUCAUGUCGCUCGUCGCCAACGAGGAUUUCCAGCACAUCCUCCGUGUGCUCAACACCAACGUUGAUGGGAAGCAGAACAUCAUGUUCGCUCUCACCUCCAUCAAGGGUAUCGGCCGCCGAUUUGCCAACAUCGUUUGCAAGAAGGCUGAUGUUGAUAUGACAAAGAGGGCUGGCGAGAUCUCAGCUGCGGAGCUUGAGAAUUUGAUGACUAUUGUGGCGAAUCCUCGUCAGUUCAAGAUUCCGGAUUGGUUUUUGAAUAGAAAGAAGGAUUACAAGGAUGGCCGUUACUCGCAGGUUGUUUCUAAUGCGCUGGAUAUGAAGCUGAGGGAUGAUCUUGAGCGUCUCAAGAAGAUCAGGAAUCACCGUGGUCUCCGUCACUACUGGGGCCUUAGAGUUCGGGGUCAGCACACCAAGACCACUGGCAGAAGGGGAAAGACUGUUGGUGUGUCAAAGAAACGUUGAACUCUGCUUCUAGUAUUCUAGUCUGAAGGAUGAGUUGGGUCUGUCCCUGGUUGCUUUUAAUUUUUGCUUACUUGCCUGAAAUCUGGUAGUUUUGGUACUGUUGCUUGUGUUUGAGAUGACUCCUUUUAUAUCAAGGAUCUAGAUGAUUUUCUAUCAGACUGUUGCUAUAAAUUUGAUUUGUAGACUUUCUUUUGCUUAAUUUUGUAAUGGGUAAGUCCAGG